GUUUCUGUAGUGUAGUGGUUAUCACGUUUGCCUAACACGCGGAAAGGUUCACCGUUCGAAACCGUGGGCAGAAAACUUCA
rnacentral:tRNA from 1 species